GACGAACGCUGGCGGCGCGCCUAACACAUGCAAGUCGAACGAUCGAGAGAGAGCUUGCUUUCUCGAGCGAGUGGCGAACGGGUGAGUAACGCGUGAGGAACCCGCCUCAAAGAGGGGGACAACAGUUGGAAACGACUGCUAAUACCGCAUAAGCCCACGGUUUGGCAUCGAGCAGGGGGAAAAGGAGCAAUCCGCCUUGAGCUGGCCUCGCGUCCGAUUAGCUAGUUGGUGAGGUAACGGCCCACCAAGGCGACGAUCGGUAGCCGGACUGGGAGGUUGAACGGCCACAUUGGGACUGAGACACGGCCCAGACUCCUACGGGAAGCAGCAGUGGGGAAUAUUGCACAAUGGGGGAGACCCUGAUGCAGCGACGCCGCGUGGAGGAAGAAGGUCUGCGGAUUGUAAACUCCUGUUGUUAGGGAAGAUAGUGACGGUACCCAACAAGGAAGUGACGGCUAACUACGUG
rnacentral:rRNA from 1 species